rnacentral:rRNA from 1 species
UACGGAGGGGGCAAGCGUUAUCCGGAUUCACUGGGUUUAAAGGGCUCGUAGGCGGCCAACUAAGUCCGACGUGAAAUCCCAAGGCUUAACCUUGGAACUGCGUCGGAUACUGGAUGGCUUGAAUUCGGGAGAGGGAUGCAGAAUUCCAGGUGUAGCGGUGAAAUGCGUAGAUAUCUGGAGGAAUACCGGUGGCGAAGGCGGCAUCCUGGACCAACACUGACACUGAGGAGCGAAAGCCAGGGGAGCAAACGGG